rnacentral:rRNA from 1 species
UACGUAGGGGGCAAGCGUUGUCCGGAUUUAUUGGGCGUAAAGAGCGUGUAGGCGGCCAGGUAGGUCCGUUGUGAAAACUGGAGGCUUAACCUCCAGCUGUCGAUGGAAACCAUCUGGCUAGAGUCCGGAAGAGGAGAGUGGAAUUCCUGGUGUAGCGGUGGAAUGCGUAGAGAUCGGGAAGAACAUCAGUGGCGAAGGCGGCCUGCUGGGCUGUUGCUGACGCUGAGGCGCGACAGCGUGGGGAGCAAACAGGG